GUAAUAUUUGACCAAAACAUUUCGCCAGCUCGUCUAGGGGGAACCUGAGGCAUUCCCAGCCUGCAGAGAGAUGUAGUCCCUCCAGUGUGUCCUGGGUCU